rnacentral:rRNA from 1 species
AUUGAACGCUGGCGGCAGGCCUAACACAUGCAAGUCGAGCGGAUGAAGGGAGCUUUCUCCUCUCUUCAGCUGCCGACGGGUGAGUAAUUCAUAGGAAUCUGCCUUAUCUUUGGGGAUAACGUCCGUUCACGGGCGCUAAUACCACAUCCGUCCUGAUUUUGAACGUCAUGGUUCUUCGGACCUCACGCUUUCUGCUGAGCCUAGGCCGGAUUAGCUAGUUGGUUGGGUAAAGGCCUACCAAGGCGACGAUCCAUAACUGAUCUGAGAGGAUGAUCAGUCACACUGGAACUGAGACACGGUCCAGACUCCUACGGGAGGCAGCAGUAGGGAAUAUUGGACAAUGGGCGAAAGCCUGAUGGAGCAAUGCCGCGUGAGUGAAGAAGGUCUUCGGAUCGUAAAACACUGUUAGUAGGGAGGAAGAGAAGUAAGAGAAAAUGUGCAUAUCUUGACGGUACCAAAAGAAAAAGCAACGGCUAACUACGUG